rnacentral:rRNA from 1 species
UACGUAGGGGGCAAGCGUUGUCCGGAUUUACUGGGCGUAAAGCGCGCGUAGGCGGAACGUUAAGUCCGGUCUGAAAGCCCCCGGCUCAACCGGGGAGGGUGGCUGGAAACUGGCGUUCUUGAGGGCGAGAGAGGAGGGUGGAAUUCCUGGUGUAGCGGUGAAAUGCGCAGAUAUCAGGAGGAACACCGAUGGCGAAGGCAGGUCUCUGGGCCACUACUGACGCUGAGAAGCGAUAGCGUGGGGAGCGAACAGG